rnacentral:rRNA from 16 species
UUGGUCUUUUUAUUUUUUAUUUUUUUUUUUUUUUUCGUUGCAAAGAUGGGUUGAAAGAGAAGGGCUUUCACAAAGCUUCCCGAGCGUGAAAGGAUUUGCCCGGACAGUUUGCUUCAUGGAGCAGUUUUUUCCGCACCAUCAGAGCGGCAAACAUGAGUGCUUGUAUAAGUUUAGAGAAUUGAGAAAAGCUCAUUUCCUAUAGUUAACAGGACAUGCCUUUGAUAUGAAAAAAAAUACUACGAACUACGAUUUUACCAAGAAAGAUGUAAGAGACAAGUGAACAGUGAACAGUGAACAGUGGGGACAUUUUUUUUUUUUUUUUUUUUUUAAGUAAAUGGCAGUUUCUAGGGAAUGAUGAUGGCAAGUUCCAGAGAGGCAGCGUAAAAGGAUGAGGCUACUGGGAAGAAGAAAGAGGAAAAGUGCAAGAUGAAUAGCCAGUGCAAUAUAUACAUGUAUACUUAACAGAUAUGGAAUGGUUGGCGAAGUAAAUUUUUGGCGACGCGGCGACGCGGCGACGCGGUAUGCGGAGUUGUAAGAUGUACUACGAUCAUAUAGUGUAAUGCGGCAAAAUGUUAGUGCAGGAAAGCGGGAAGGAAUAAGAAGCAACUAAACGAGGGUGUAGAAAAAGACGAAGAGGAAAGUAUUAACCGUAGAAGAGAGGGAAAUGGAGGGAAGAGAACAAAACCGGAGUGUUUUUUUUUUUUUUUUUGUAGGAAUAUCGGAGGAGAAUAUUGUUUGUACAUAUCAAGUAGUAGCAACCCAAUGAGCAUAAUGGAGUGCUUAACUCUUCAGAAGAAGAGUGCAGCUGGAUAGUGCGAAUUUUUCUGAAUCGAAUGGUAGGUUAGUUAUGGGAUUUAGCAUAGGAAGCCAAGAAACUAGAAAAAAAAAAAAAAAAAAAAAAAAAAAAAGAAAUAA